UAGGGAAUCUUCCGCAAUGGACGAAAGUCUGACGGAGCAACGCCGCGUGAGUGAUGAAGGUUUUCGGAUCGUAAAACUCUGUUGUUAGGGAAGAACAAGUUGGGUAGUAACUGACCCAACCUUGACGGUACCUAACCAGAAAGCCACGGCUAACUACGUGCCAGCAGCCGCGGUAAUACGUAGGUUGCAAGCGUUGUCCGGAAUUAUUGGGCGUAAAGCGCUCGCAGGCGGUCUUUUAAGUCUGAUGUGAAAGCCCACGGCUUAACCGUGGAGGGUCAUUGGAAACUGGAGGACUUGAGUACAGAAGAGGAGAGUGGAAUUCCACGUGUAGCGGUGAAAUGCGUAGAGAUGUGGAGGAACACCAGUGGCGAAGGCGACUCUCUGGUCUGUAACUGACGCUGAGGAGCGAAAGCGUGGGUAGCGAACAGG
rnacentral:rRNA from 1 species